GAUGAGCCAGAAUUGGCACCUUGUCUAUAAAUAAGGUGCAAAAUGAUUUUAACUGAAGAGUUUGAUCAUGGCUCAGAUUGAACGCUGGCGGCAGGCUUAACACAUGCAAGUCGAGCGGGGGAAGGUAGCUUGCUACCGGACCUAGCGGCGGACGGGUGAGUAAUGCUUAGGAAUCUGCCUAUUAGUGGGGGACAACAUCUCGAAAGGGAUGCUAAUACCGCAUACGUCCUACGGGAGAAAGCAGGGGAUCUUCGGACCUUGCGCUAAUAGAUGAGCCUAAGUCGGAUUAGCUAGUUGGUGGGGUAAAGGCCUACCAAGGCGACGAUCUGUAGCGGGUCUGAGAGGAUGAUCCGCCACACUGGGACUGAGACACGGCCCAGACUCCUACGGGAGGCAGCAGUGGGGAAUAUUGGACAAUGGGGGGAACCCUGAUCCAGCCAUGCCGCGUGUGUGAAGAAGGCCUUAUGGUUGUAAAGCACUUUAAGCGAGGAGGAGGCUACUCUAGUUAAUACCUAGGGAUAGUGGACGUUACUCGCAGAAUAAGCACCGGCUAACUCUGUGCCAGCAGCCGCGGUAAUACAGAGGGUGCGAGCGUUAAUCGGAUUUACUGGGCGUAAAGCGUGCGUAGGCGGCUUAUUAAGUCGGAUGUGAAAUCCCCGAGCUUAACUUGGGAAUUGCAUUCGAUACUGGUGAGCUAGAGUAUGGGAGAGGAUGGUAGAAUUCCAGGUGUAGCGGUGAAAUGCGUAGAGAUCUGGAGGAAUACCGAUGGCGAAGGCAGCCAUCUGGCCUAAUACUGACGCUGAGGUACGAAAGCAUGGGGAGCAAACAGGAUUAGAUACCCUGGUAGUCCAUGCCGUAAACGAUGUCUACUAGCCGUUGGGGCCUUUGAGGCUUUAGUGGCGCAGCUAACGCGAUAAGUAGACCGCCUGGGGAGUACGGUCGCAAGACUAAAACUCAAAUGAAUUGACGGGGGCCCGCACAAGCGGUGGAGCAUGUGGUUUAAUUCGAUGCAACGCGAAGAACCUUACCUGGCCUUGACAUAGUAAGAACUUUCCAGAGAUGGAUUGGUGCCUUCGGGAACUUACAUACAGGUGCUGCAUGGCUGUCGUCAGCUCGUGUCGUGAGAUGUUGGGUUAAGUCCCGCAACGAGCGCAACCCUUUUCCUUAUUUGCCAGCGAGUAAUGUCGGGAACUUUAAGGAUACUGCCAGUGACAAACUGGAGGAAGGCGGGGACGACGUCAAGUCAUCAUGGCCCUUACGGCCAGGGCUACACACGUGCUACAAUGGUCGGUACAAAGGGUUGCUACCUAGCGAUAGGAUGCUAAUCUCAAAAAGCCGAUCGUAGUCCGGAUUGGAGUCUGCAACUCGACUCCAUGAAGUCGGAAUCGCUAGUAAUCGCGGAUCAGAAUGCCGCGGUGAAUACGUUCCCGGGCCUUGUACACACCGCCCGUCACACCAUGGGAGUUUGUUGCACCAGAAGUAGCUAGCCUAACUGCAAAGAGGGCGGUUACCACGGUGUGGCCGAUGACUGGGGUGAAGUCGUAACAAGGUAGCCGUAGGGGAACCUGCGGCUGGAUCACCUCCUUAA
rnacentral:rRNA from 1 species